CUCCGCCAUUGUCCCCGGCUUUCCAGCUCUUACUGGGAUACAGGAAGGGACUGAAACAAAUAAAGUUAACAGUAGCGUUACCUCAGGCUCACGGUGAGCUUGCUGACCCCACCAUAUCGGAUUUACAUCCACGACGAUGACCAACAGAUUGACCUCUUCCUCUGCAGACAACAGUGACACAUUAAAGGGUAAGUUCUGUGCUCAGUGAAGGGGCUAUGGGCCACUUUUUAUUCACACACACACACACACACACACAACACAACACAUGUGUAGAAGGUAGAAAAACUAUGGUCAAACUAUCUGACAUGUGAAUUUUAAAGCCCUCCUUACAAAAGCUUUACGGUAAAAGGCCGGGGAACCAAUCAAUCGACAUCGGGUUUUCAAAAUAAACCACCAUCUCUACACACGCAUACUGGAAAUACUUUGCCAAGAGGACCAAACAAUGGUUUAUUUAAAGGCCACAUUUAAGAUUUACAAACGUUGAAGUGGGUACAAAUGAUUCGUUCUCCUAAACCGAUACAGGAAGUCAGCCCUAAAGGUUUUUGUCACGUUGGCAGAGAUAACACACAUGUCCUCCCAGCAGUCCUAAUAUUGGAGUUACAAAAAAAACUAGGUCCUAUAUCACAUCUUUGAUGUAAACGCUCUUGUUUAAUUAUCUGUUCUUUAGACUCACAACACCAAACGUACAAGAUACGACCUUACCUGAUGCCAUGAUCACAGCAGCAACACAAAGGAACACCGGAAAGCGAAAUAAAAGUUAUUGCCCUGGAGUUUUAUCUUCUGUUAGCCUCCAUACUUGAUCUCAAAAUGUACACGUUUGAAAACGAAGUCUUAUUUUCACAUUAUCAGUUCUCACUUUAGCUAGAAGACAUCAACCAGCCUACAUCACUAUUACUUCUUCGUCUUCUUCUCCGGCAGCUUGACUACGGUGUAGUGCAUUACUGCCACCCACUGGUGUUACAGCGUCAUUACUACUUUUGCCACCUGUCACCAAUAUGUUCAAGUACAUGCUACAUAAUAUAAUACAGUCCUUUGCGCUUACUUUUGUGAAGCAUUUAUUCAAUUCUGUUAUCAUAAUAAAGUCAUAAUUGCCUUUAAUCCUGAUGCCACCUGACUGUAUGUUGGUGCUUGAAGCUGUUGUUUGUAUUUUGUCUUAUGUUUUGGUGUAUUCUGCCUUGUCGAAAUCAUUGUUUGUUAUAAAUAAACUUAUUUUAGAGUGUGGGGGUAUUCUGUUGUGUAGUAAGUGCAAGUAGGAAAACGUCAAAUGAAUACUGCAUUCAAAAUGGUACACAAGACCUUAUGGGCUAUAAAUAAAAUGUACUGGUAUCAGUUAAGUA